rnacentral:tRNA from 1 species
UCCCUGAUAGCUCAGUUGGUAAAGAAUCUGCCUGCAAUGCAGAAGACCCCAAUUCAGUUUCUGGGUCGGGAAG